rnacentral:rRNA from 1 species
UACGUAGGGUGCGAGCGUUGUCCGGAAUUAUUGGGCGUAAAGAGCUCGUAGGCGGUGUGUCACGUCGGCCGUGAAAACCUGCAGCUUAACUGUGGGCGUGCGGUCGAUACGGGCAUCACUGGAGUUCGGCAGGGGAGACUGGAAUUCCUGGUGUAGCGGUGAAAUGCGCAGAUAUCAGGAGGAACACCGGUGGCGAAGGCGGGGUCUCUGGGGCCGAUACUGACGCUGGAGGAAGCGGAAAGCGUGGGGGAGCAAACAGG